UACAGAGGUCCCAAGCGUUGUUCGGAUUCAUUGGGCGUAAAGGGUGCGUAGGCGGCGCGGUAAGUCGGGUGUGAAAUCUCGGGGCUUAACUCCGAAACUGCAUUCGAUACUGCCGUGCUUGAGGACUGGAGAGGAGACUGGAAUUUACGGUGUAGCGGUGAAAUGCGUAGAUAUCGUAAGGAAGACCAGUGGCGAAGGCGGGUCUCUGGACAGCUCCUGACGCUGAGGCGCGAAGGCUAGGGGAGCAAACGGG
rnacentral:rRNA from 1 species